rnacentral:ncRNA from 1 species
AUCGUCUGUGGCUCUUACCGAUUGAAUGAUCUAGUGAAAUAUUCAUAUUUUGGUGAUAUUGACGGUUUACUACACACAACGUCAUGAGAAAUCUAUUUAACCUUAUCAUUUAGAUGAAGAAAAAGUCAUAAUAAGAUUUUUGAGGGUAAACCUGUGGAAG